GACGAACGCUGGCGGCGUGCCUAAUACAUGCAAGUCGAACGCUGAAGGAGGAGCUUGCUUCUCUGGAUGAGUUGCGAACGGGUGAGUAACGCGUAGGUAACCUGCCUGGUAGCGGGGGAUAACUAUUGGAAACGAUAGCUAAUACCGCAUAAGAUUGACUAUUGCAUGAUAGUCAGUUAAAAGGUGCAAUUGCAUCACUACCAGAUGGACCUGCGUUGUAUUAGCUAGUUGGUGGGGUAACGGCUCACCAAGGCGACGAUACAUAGCCGACCUGAGAGGGUGAUCGGCCACACUGGGACUGAGACACGGCCCAGACUCCUACGGGAGGCAGCAGGAGGGAAUCUUCGGCAAUGGACGGAAGUCUGACCGAGCAACGCCGCGUGAGUGAAGAAGGUUGUCGGAUCGUAAAGCUCUGUUGUAAGAGAAGAACGAGUGUGAGAGUGGAAAGUUCACACUGUGACGGUAUCUGACCAGAAAGGGACGGCUAACUACGUG
rnacentral:rRNA from 1 species